CCGCCCAGAGGUAAACGGGUGGAUCCGCAAAGUCGGUCCGCGGAAUUCAGCGCGGCGCGCGGUCCGGGGCUGCCGCUGUUCGGGAUCCUCUGGGAACCAGCAGCGGUGCCGAGCCGGACCCCGCCGCGUGCACUUUCCGCGGGCAGAGAGCCACAACCGGUUUGGUGGCGGUCACAAGCCCGGAGGGUUGUCGGUGGGGGCGCUCGCGUCCCUACCAGCCCCCCGCGGCGAGUCGCCGCCGGACCGAGGAACCGCCGCGCGCUUCGAGGCCACCCUCCCUUCCGGGUGAGUUCGACUGGGAGAGACUGGGCAACCGUGUCUCCCGACCGCUCACUCGCGACUGGCGCGGGGCUGGCCGGGCGAGCACUUGGGUUGGUGGCAAGUCUGUCGGCAUUCCACCCGACCCGUCUUGAAA
rnacentral:rRNA from 1 species